GACGAACGCUGGCGGCGUGCUUAACACAUGCAAGUCGAACGGAAAGGCCCUGCUUUUGUGGGGUGCUCGAGUGGCGAACGGGUGAGUAACACGUGAGUAACCUGCCCUUGACUUUGGGAUAACUUCAGGAAACUGGGGCUAAUACCGGAUAGGAGCUCCUGCUGCAUGGUGGGGGUUGGAAAGUUUCGGCGGUUGGGGAUGGACUCGCGGCUUAUCAGCUUGUUGGUGGGGUAGUGGCUUACCAAGGCUUUGACGGGUAGCCGGCCUGAGAGGGUGACCGGCCACCUUGGGACUGAGAUACCGCCCAGAAUCCUACGGGAGGCAAGAGUGGGGAAUAUUGCACCAUGGGCGGAAGCCUGAUGCAGCAACGCCGCGUGCGGGAUGAAGGCCUUCGGGUUGUAAACCGCUUUCGCCUUUGACGAAGCGUGAGGGACGGUAAUGGGUAAAGAAGCACCGGCUAACUACGUG
rnacentral:rRNA from 1 species